rnacentral:misc_RNA from 1 species
ACUAGUAUUACUUGGUCUAGUUGUUGCAAGAGAACCACAAUUUACUAUAAUGGGAAUCAGCCUGGCAUCUUUGUCAUUAUAUUCCCAUCCUGCCUAGUUGUGAGCUCUAGAGGAAUCUAUCAGGGAAUUGUCUCAAUUUGCAACCCAAACUAUCUUCUUUGUCUUGUCCUUUUUGAACCAAAUUCCUAAAUAAUGAUUGUUCAACUCUCUGUUAGGAAAAAUAGCCUUGUUCAAACACACCACUUGCAAAGGCUAGUUUUUCAUUGUUGUACAAGUUCUCUCCUGGUUUAAGGGUGUAAAAAGCUUCGCAGGAAAUUCUAAUCUUGUUUCUCUCAUGUUUGACAUCAAAAAGAGAUUGCUACUCUGAAAAAAACUGAGAAAGUAGGGUGAGGAGAUGCACACAAGGCUUAGAUUGCAGGUCAACUACCCUCCGGUAAAUUUUUAUGUGUCAAUAACAUGAGACCAGAUGGUUAAUCUUUUGGGCAGUUUACUUGCUUGUCACUGUCGCUCUCAAUUCAUGCUUGUAGUACUCGAAUGUGAUCUUAAGAAAAUCACAUUUCAGGACACAAUGGAAUGUGUGAGUGCAGAUGCAUAUCCUAUUUUUCACUGAUUCUUUCUUGAUCCAACCAUCAAUGUUGACUAUCAAUAAUGUAGAAUAUUUAUGUUGAAGUAAUGGAAUAAAGAAAAAUAAAACCUGAACCGGAAGACCUGAAGAUUAACUUAACGAAGAAGGUACCAGAAAUUUUUCAUAUUAUUUUCCCACAAAGCCACAAUACAAACCCCUUACUCAAUGCUUACAAUCUAAAACAGAAAAGAUUAACUGUCAGCAUUAUGUUGGAAUAAAACAUAACAAGUUGUUUUAGGAAGAAAGAGAAGCUAUAAAAUUUCUGGCCAGGUUCGUUUGACUUUGAGCGAACAUGCCAGCAGUACAUGAAUGGAAAAUACUAGAUCAAAAGACAAAUUUGUAACACCCCAAAAUUUUAUUAAUUAUGAGUAUUUUUGAUAUUUAAAUUUUAUUUAAAUUUUAGGAAUU